UUAUUGUCAUUGCUGUGAAUCUUUAUCUGAUACACUGACUUGCACUCCUGUUGUUGGACAGAAAGACAUCAACUCAGUGACUUUAGAUAUGACUGCGCGAU